rnacentral:rRNA from 1 species
UACGUAGGGUGCAAGCGUUGUCCGGAAUUAUUGGGCGUAAAGAGCUCGUAGGCGGUUUGUUGCGUCGGCUGUGAAAACCUGAGGCUCAACCUCAGGCCUGCAGUCGAUACGAGCAGACUAGAGUGUUGCAGGGGAGACUGGAAUUCCUGGUGUAGCGGUGAAAUGCGCAGAUAUCAAGAGGAACACCUGAGGUGAAGACGGGUUGCUGGGCUGACACUGACGCUGAGGCGCGAAAGCUAGGGUAGCAAACGGG